UAGGUUUGCCCUAAGUCAAACAUGUCUAACUUUGACCAAGUGUGUAGAAUAAUACAACAACAACUAUAAUACUAAACAUAUUCCAUGGUGGAUUCAACUAAACAAAUUUGGUAUUGUAGAUGUUGUUAUAUUAUUCUAUAAACUUGGUCAAAGAUGGAUAGGUCUGACUUAGGACAAAUCUAA
rnacentral:pre_miRNA from 1 species